CGCGGGAUGGAGCAGUUCGGUAGCUCGUCGGGCUCAUAACCCGAAGGUCGAUGGUUCAAAUCCGCCUCCCGCAA
rnacentral:tRNA from 1 species